CUAUAACAAAGAGAAGCGAGACGGAGACGUUAAGCGAAACCCAAAAAAGUAAGUCUCAGUUCGGAUUGAAGGCUGAAAUUCGCCUUCAUGAAGCCGGAAUUGCUAGUAAUGGCAGGUCAGCAUACUGCCGUGAAUACGUUCCCGGGCCUUGUACACACCGCCCGUCACACCAUGAGAGUUGGGAAUACCCGAAGCCUGUGAGCUAACGUAAGGGGCAGCAGUCGAAGGUAGAAUCAAUGAUUGGGGUGAAGUCGUAACAAGGUACC
rnacentral:rRNA from 1 species